ACCCAUUCAACACAUUUCAAGGCACUGGUAAUAGACUUUGUAGCUGUCUAUCCAGUACAACAAUGAAGAUUUUCAUUUAUGGACAGAAAAUGGAAAUCUAAGUGGUUGGUAUCCUGGAAGAAAGACAUGUUCUCCUCCUGCUGCUGCUCUCUUCAGGAUGAACUCUACAUCAAUCUCAGAUCUAGCACUCUGGGAUGCUCUGCAUAAGUGUGGGCAGUCAUUCUCAGAAGGACUCUGUAUUCUGCAGCCUGAAACUCUCUUAGGCAGCUAAUCUCACAGUCUGGUCUCCAGAAAGCUGGAAAAGCUUCUCUCCUCCUCCUGGUAGGAGGGGAGAACUCCCUGCAGCCAGAUCUAGAAGCUUCUUCCUUGGGCCUACACCCAGCACACCAGGUGUGGAGAGUACCCAGGGCUGCUUGUCUGCUGACUCAUCCAUCACCUGUCAGUGUCUGACCUUUCUCCAAGCAUCAGCUUCCUCAUUUCCUUGGUCAUUAUGUCAUCUCACCUCUGCACAGUAGCUUGCUGUUACAGCUUGUGUCUAGACAUCCCCCCCAAAGCUUCAUGUGGUCAUAGGUGGGGUUUUUCAGAGAUGGCUGGAUCUAGAAUGUGUGAUGCUGGGAUUGCUUCAUGGUGCAAUGCUUGGAUCAAGGGCACUAGGAUUAAAGGUGUGAUUGCUGCCUGCUCUAGUAACCUGGAUAAGAUAUAAGGGAUAAAAAGAGCUUUGGUUGUCCCUUGUUGCUCUGCUAUCUUCUACCCACCCAUGAAGUCUUUCUCCUCUGAGAUACCUGUCUGCUGUGCCACCCUGCCUUGGAGCCAGUCAACUAUGACCUGAAACCACUAUAAACUAUGACUUAAAAAAAAAAAGUAAAACCUUUCCCCCUUUAAUUUUGAGUGUCAGAUAUUUUGUCUCAGCAAUGAAAGAAAAAUAACUAAGACAGAAUUUGGUACCAGAGAAGUGACGUUGUUGCUGUAACUGUACCUGACCACGUGGUAUAGGAGACUUUGGAGCUGGCUUGUGGGAAGGGGAACAGUUAGGAAAUGUAUGAAGAUGUCAGCUGAAAAAAUAGAGCUGGAACACCUUAGGCUGUGCUUGAUGGGAGAUUUUGAUCAGAGCUCAGAAGACCAGAAUGUUGAUAGAGAUUCUCCUGAUAAAGACCAGGCUCAGGAGGUUUCUGCUGGGAAGAACUGCAUUGGCUGUUGGACUCCAGAUGAUGAGUGUUAUACCUUAGCAGAAAGUUGCCUGCAUUUUGCUCAUGUCCAGAGACUUUGCCAGAGACUGAGAAUAAGAGUAGUGGACUAAUUAAUAUGACAGAAGAAAUUUCAAGGCAGGCUAAUGUUGAGGCAAUGGCAUGAUUACUGUAGGGGGCUUUUAGCCAGAUUUAUGUUGAGAAUCAAGAGCAAAUAGCCCAGAAGAAUAAUUUAAAAUGUUUUGAGUUUGUCCAGAAAGGAAGCUCCACUAAAGUUGUGGACUGCAAUGAUAGAGCAGAGGAGAUUGUGAUUCCUAUGAAGGAACAGAAUUUAAAAAAUGGCCUGAAGGCAUCACAAGAAGCAGCAGGACUCCACCCUUUGCAGCCCCAAAAUUGCAAAACUGAAAUUCUUUCCUCUGAGAAGAGAGCCCCCGAGCACCAUGUUCCACAUGAUGGCAGCCUAGGGAAGUUGUUCCUCAGGAUUUGGUUCAUAGGCACUGGACUCCUACAGCCAAGAGAGAAGGAAGUCUGGCUACUGUUCCAGCUGGCAGCAGACCUUUGUAUCAUCCGUGUGGUGCUGGUUUUAGGUGCAUGCAAAAUGCAAGAGUUGUGAAGUCAGGAAGGCUUCCAUCCAGACUUCAGAAAAAGGCCUAGGAGGCCAGGCAGUGUGAGG
ensembl:lncRNA